rnacentral:rRNA from 1 species
UGAGUAACACGUGGGCAAUCUGCCCUGCACUUCGGGAUAAGCCUGGGAAACUGGGUCUAAUACCGGAUAGGACCUUUAGGCGCAUGCCUUUUGGUGGAAAGCUUUUGCGGUGUGGGAUGGGCCCGCGGCCUAUCAGCUUGUUGGUGGGGUGAUGGCCUACCAAGGCGACGACGGGUAGCCGGCCUGAGAGGGUGUCCGGCCACACUGGGACUGAGAUACGGCCCAGACUCCUACGGGAGGCAGCAGUGGGGAAUAUUGCACAAUGGGCGCAAGCCUGAUGCAGCGACGCCGCGUGGGGGAUGACGGCCUUCGGGUUGUAAACCUCUUUCACCAUCGACGAAGGUCCGGGUUUUCUCGGAUUGACGGUAGGUGGAGAAGAAGCACCGGCCAACUACGUGCCAGCAGCCGCGGUAAUACGUAGGGUGCGAGCGUUGUCCGGAAUUACUGGGCGUAAAGAGCUCGUAGGUGGUUUGUCGCGUUGUUCGUGAAAUCUCACGGCUUAACUGUGAGCGUGCGGGCGAUACGGGCAGACUAGAGUACUGCAGGGGAGACUGGAAUUCCUGGUGUAGCGGUGGAAUGCGCAGAUAUCAGGAGGAACACCGGUGGCGAAGGCGGGUCUCUGGGCAGUAACUGACGCUGAGGAGCGAAAGCGUGGGGAGCGAACAGGAUUAGAUACCCUGGUAGUCCACGCCGUAAACGGUGGGUACUAGGUGUGGGGUUUCCUUCCUUGGGAUCCGUGCCGUAGCUAACGCAUUAAGUACCCCCGCCUGGGGAGUANGGCCGCAAGGCUAAAACUCAAAGGANUUGACGGGGGGCCCGCACAA